GCCGCGUCACGAGCUGUGUGUCUCGUCUUCCCGCUUCCCUGACUGCCUCUUGGAUCUCGACCUACCGCCUGGACACGGACAUUCGACGCCUCGCUAUAGCCGCCGACCUUCUGCCUGCUCACGGACCUCCGGCCCAGCUUUACCCUCUUGGACUCCCGCCUCGUGCUCACCACUCCCGCCUUCAGGUCGCCAUGGCAACAUCAUCAGAUGAGGAAACCAAAUCAAAACUUGCAGAUACCUAAGCAGCUCCAGCCGUUGGGGAGAUUGUGUCUAUUUGCCCGGCCAGCCUGCAAGAAGACACGUCCAGGAGGAUGUCCAAUCAAACACAGCCUCGCAGCAAACAGACAGUUUGAUGAGACGUCUUCAUCAGCCGUGGUUUGGAUGCUCCUCUUCCCGUAUUCACCGGCCACAAUGCUCCUGUGAGCCCAUCAACUGCCGCCAGCGUUUGUCUAUGUCUCGUCUUUGUGUGUGGUUAUGUGUGUGUGUGUGUGUGUGUGUGUCCCACAGCUGCUGCAGCUCUGAUGCGUGUCGCUAAUUAGCUGACAAACAGAGUACAGUAUAAACCAUGGCGAAGUAUUCACACCACUCAUGUUUGCACACACCAAAUACUUGUCUUAUUAAUGAUAUAUCUGCUUUUGAACACUAUGAAAUUCCUUGUGUUGGUCUUUCUUUCUCAGUCUAUCUACUAGGGUUGUACGGUACACCGAUAUUAGUAUAGUACCGCAAUACUAAUGAAUCAUUUUCGGGACUAUAUCGUCUCUGAAACGUACCGGUCCCGCACCCCGUUGCGCCCGCCGUGUCGUUGCUGGUUUUACGAACAGACAGGCAUGUUCGGCAGCGCACAAUCACUGAGUACUUACAAGCAGACACAGUGUGUAGACAGAAAAGGGAGAACGGACGCAUUUUGGCUUAAAAACUAAUGAUGAAGGUGAAGUUAUAACACUGAAACACCCUCAGGAAGAGGUGCUUUAGGACAUGGCUAGCUAGCUAGCGGCUAACGUCUAUCCCCAGUCUG